rnacentral:SRP_RNA from 1 species
GCUGGGUGCAGUGAUGCCCACCUGUAGUCCCAGCUACUUGGGAGGCUGAGGCAGGAGGAUUGGUUGAGCCCUGGAGUUCUGGGCCAUAGUGUGCUAUACCCAUCAGGUUCUGCACCAAGUUUGGCAUCAAUGUGGUGACCUCCUGGGAGUGGGGACAACCAGGUGGCCUAAGGAGUUGCUGAACUGUCCCAGGUCAGAAACAGAGCAGGUCAAAACUCACAUGCUGAAAAGUAGUAGGAUCACACCUGUGAAUAGCCACGGUACUCCUGCCUGGGCAACACAGCAAGACCCUCUCUCU